rnacentral:rRNA from 1 species
ACAAUCGUAAUAUUAUAAUAGGUUCGCCGGGGAUAACAGGUUAUUGAAUUCCAA